CAGUGCUGCUCUUCUCUGUAGCAAAUGCAGCCCAGGCCAUCCUCAAGCCUACCUGGUAAAGCCAAUUUCCACAAACAUUUCUAAAGUUAAAGUAUGAAAAGAAAUUAAAGUUGGGGUGUUUUUCUCAGCCACUUUUGAAGAAGACAAUGCUUUGCUUGGAAAUAAGCAAAUGACCAAAGCAAAACUGAGUAAUAAUUCUUGUUGAUGUGGAACUGCUGGAAUGACAUGGAUGCUGAAGUUUCUUCAGCCUUGGAUUCUGGUUAAUGGUCUUUCUAAAGAAACCCUGUGACUACUGAAACCUAGUGUACCAGGCAGCUGCCCAGAGGCCAUUAAUCUGUGACGGGAAAAAGGAGGACUUGGCAGUGAUUUGACUUGUACACUGACAGAAGGCACAUGAACAACUGUUUAUUUCCGGAGUCUUCCUGGGAGCUUUUUGGAUGAAUAGAUAUUUUCCUGAGAAAUAAGUCUGAGAUUUAUCAAUGAUUCCACUGUGGAUCCCUACAUCUCUGUAUUUCUUUCCUCAAAUGAAGCAACCGGAUACAAAGCUGUGCCAUGGUCUUUGACAAAUACUGCAGAAAGAAUAAAACUUGGAGAAACUGUUACUGCUUUGGUGGCCUGUAUUUCAACAGCUCUUUGCCAUCUUUCUGUGAAGACUGAUGCUGUACUGGGGAGGACAAAGGACAAAGAUUGACACUUCAUAGUUUCAAGCACUUCCAAUCCAAAUACUCAAUAUAGUGCAAAAAUGCCUGACACCCAAGCUGAUGUGGCCUAGCUUGUGCAAGGUAAUUUAAAAUGCC
rnacentral:lncRNA from 14 species